rnacentral:rRNA from 1 species
UACGGGGGGAGCAAGCGUUGUUCGGAUUUACUGGGCGUAAAGGGCGCGUAGGCGGUCAGUGCAAGUCAGUUGUGAAAUCUCCGAGCUUAACUCGGAAAGGUCAACUGAUACUGCUCGACUAGAGUGCGGAAGGGGCAACUGGAAUUCUUGGUGUAGCGGUGAAAUGCGUAGAUAUCAAGAGGAACACCUGCGGCGAAGGCGGGUCUCUGGGCCGAUACUGACGCUGAGGAGCGAAAGCGUGGGGAGCGAACAGG